rnacentral:rRNA from 1 species
UACAGAGGUCUCAAGCGUUGUUCGGAUUCAUUGGGCGUAAAGCGUGCGUAGGUGGCGAGGUUAGUCAGGUGUGAAAUCUCGGGGCUCAACCCCGAAACUGCACUUGAUACUGCCUUGCUAAAGUACUGGAGAGGAGAUUGGAAUUUACGGUGUAGCAGUGAAAUGCGUAGAUAUCGUAAGGAAGACCAGUGGCGAAGGCGAAUCUCUGGACAGUUACUGACACUGAGGCACGAAGGCCAGGGGAGCAAACGGG